rnacentral:rRNA from 1 species
UGGGGAAUAUUGGACAAUGGGCGAAAGCCUGAUCCAGCCAUGCCGCGUGGGUGAAGAAGGCCUUCGGGUUGUAAAGCCCUUUUGUUGGGGAAGAAAUCCUGCUGGCUAAUACCCGGCGGGGAUGACGGUACCCAAAGAAUAAGCACCGGCUAACUUCGUGCCAGCAGCCGCGGUAAUACGAAGGGUGCAAGCGUUACUCGGAAUUACUGGGCGUAAAGCGUGCGUAGGUGGUUCGCUAAGUCUGAUGUGAAAGUCCUGGGCUCAACCUGGGAACUGCAUUGGAUACUGGCGGGCUAGAGUGCGGUAGAGGGCAGUGGAAUUCCUGGUGUAGCAGUGAAAUGCGUAGAGAUCAGGAGGAACACCCGUGGCGAAGGCGACUGCCUGGACCAGUACUGACACUGAGGCACGAAAGCGUGGGGAGCAAACAGGAUUAGAUACCCUGGUAGUCCACGCCCUAAACGAUGCGAACUGGAUGUUGGGUUCAAUCGGGAACUCAGUAUCGAAGCUAACGCGUUAAGUUCGCCGCCUGGGGAGUACGGUCGCAAGACUGAAACUCAAAGGAAUUGACGGAGACGUCUACU